rnacentral:rRNA from 1 species
GCAUAUCAAUAAGCGGAGGAAAAGAAACCAACAGGGAUUACCUCAGUAACGGCGAGUGAAGCGGUAACAGCUCAAAUUUGAAAUCUGGGUCUUUCAGGCUCCGAGUUGUAAUUUGUAGAAGAUGCUUCGGGUGUGGCUCCGGUCUAAGUUCCUUGGAACAGGACGUCAUAGAGGGUGAGAAUCCCGUAUGUGACUGGUUGCCUUCGCCCAUGUGAAGCUCUUUCGACGAGUCGAGUUGUUUGGGAAUGCAGCUCAAAAUGGGUGGUAAAUUUCAUCUAAAGCUAAAUAUUGGCCAGAGACCGAUAGCGCACAAGUAGAGUGAUCGAAAGAUGAAAAGCACUUUGGAAAGAGAGUUAAACAGUACGUGAAAUUGUUGAAAGGGAAGCGCUUGCAACCAGACUUGCACGCUGCCGAUCAUCCGGGGUUCUCCCCGGUGCACUCGGUUGCGUUCAGGCCAGCAUCGGUUUGGGUGGUUGGAUAAAGGCCUUGGGAAUGUAGCUUCUUUCGGGGAGUGUUAUAGCCCUCGGUGCAAUGCAGCCUACCCGGACCGAGGACCGCGCUUCGGCUAGGAUGCUGGCGUAAUGGUUGUAAGCGACCCGUCUUGAAACACGGACCAAGGGAGUCUAACAUCUAUGCGAGUGUUUGGGUGUCAAACCCAUACGCGUAAUGAAAGUGAACGGAGGUGAGAACCCUUAAGGGUGCAUCAUCGACCCGAUCCUGAUGUCUUCGGAUGGAUUUGAAGUAAGAGCAUAGCUGUUGGGGACCCGAAAGAUGGUGAUCUAUACUUGAAUAGGGGUGAAGCCAGAGGAAACUCUGGUGGAGGCUCGCAGCGGUUCUGACGUGCAAAUCGAAUCGUCAAAUUUGAAGUAUAGGGGCGAAAAGACUAAAUCGAAACCAUCUAGUAGCUGGGUUCCUGCCGAAGU